rnacentral:lncRNA from 13 species
AUGGCCCCAUGCAGUCCCUCCCGGAACUUUCCGGACAUAGCACUUCUCUCCUCCGCUGCAGAGAACCACGCUUCCAGGCGGAGGAGGAAGGAGGGCGACGAUGAGGAGGUGGCGGCGGCGGCGGCGAUAGAAGCGGCGGUGGCGGGAGCUGGAGCUGAAAGUGAGAAGCAUCGCGGCCGAGCGCCGCCGCCUCGCGAGCCGCAGAGGGGUUCCCGCCCCCAGGGUAACCAACGCUCCCUCUUAAAGGCGCCGGCCUCCGUUUUAGACCUGGACGUAAGGGGAGGAGAGAGGAGAGAGAGAGGAAGGAGUUUGGAAACUCUCAGACAUUUUGGAGUUACUGGAGAACAGGAGGACCCAGGAAAUAAAAAGCUUAGUUGUUAAUCUAAUCUCGACUCUGCCACCAAAGAGCUGGUGUAAGUACAUAAACUAUUCAGUCAGACUACCUCAUCUGGAGUUUGACAAGGUCAUCAUAAAGUGCUUUCCAGCUCUAAACUUUAAAUUUUCUACUAUUACUACAGUGUGGUAGUUAACUUUUGGUUAUAAUUAUUAUUGUCUCUUAGUGAGCACUCAUUCAGGCCCAUUAUUCCUUUGCUACCAUCUCUGUUAAACAUCCAUACCUGGUGGGACUGGAAAAUCUGCUGGAAAAAGGUUCCCUUUACAUUGAGAUAUCCCAAGAGCAUUAAGGAAGGUCUCCCUUGUGUCCCCUGCUCUAUCCCCCAUAAAAAGCUAUUUCUUCCUGAGAGGGAAAGACAGGUCUACAGAGGCGGAAUGCUGCACAGAACUUUACUUCUCUUCCAUCUCUAUGACUCAAUAUUAGAACUGUUUUUUCUUGUUGGCAGAACAAUUUAUGUGCCUGUUCCAGACCUUUAUGCAAAGAUUGUACACUUCAAACUUCAAAGCUUAAAAAUAUAGCACAUCCUACAUGAAGAAUUUCCUUCUUUCUGGCUUCCAAUUUCUGGAGAAUCUGCUUACUCUGAUUUCCCCCACAAGAGCAUUGGGGACAGAUUCUGACAGCCUGGAUGAGUGAGCAUACCCAGACACCAGGUGAAACCUCAUUAAGCCAAAAGGGCCUGGGCCACAAGUUACCCUGUUAUUAAUUGUCUCCUUAACACCCUCAUGCUCCACUUGUAACUCAUCUUCAAGACAUAUAUUACAUGAAUUUUCCUAAAACCCAGGAUAUCCACUCUUCUCAAAGAAACUGGAGGGUUUGAGUUUCAAAACUGAGCAGGCAAAGUCUUUUUUAUCUGUAUUCCUGGUGAAGAAUCUGCUGUUAAAUCACGUACUGUCCUGUUUAUUCGUUAUGUGUAUCACUCUAUUUGGUAUCCUCACCCUGGGUGCCAAUAAAACAAAAUUAUUUUAUUCA